CUUCAAAUGCUGAUGGCCAUCAUCGGUGUGCCAUCGUUGCGAUCCACCUGACGAUGGAGAUCCAUGAUCUCAUUGGCACAUGGGAUGUCUUCUGGUCAGAAGUGGACAAAAAAAAUAAGCACCACAUCCAACACUUUACUUACAUGAUGAGCCAGAGGUACCAGACUCAAUGCAUCCUAUGCUAGCAGCUGCUAACCAUCCUUCUAACAAUUACGAAGAACAUAUACUAAUAUAUAGCUACCAACAACUGAUCCAGUAGCUGUAGGUUCAGACUCUACAACUCAGAAAAAUAAAAAGAGAAAAAAGUACAAAGCACACAAUAUCUCUUCCUUGACAAAGAGUGGUAUUGAGCCGCUGGUGGUUCAAAUACCUAGCAGAGGAUUUAGUGACCUGUUGGAGAACAUUCAACAGAUUUACGUAAUUUCAUUGGAUGGAUGGUUAGAGAUAUCAUCAAAUGUCCAGUUGGUGAAUGGGAAAAUGCAUCUAAAGGACUCCAAUGUCUU